rnacentral:rRNA from 1 species
UACGGAGGGUGCUAGCGUUGUUCGGAAUUACUGGGCGUAAAGGGCGCGUAGGCGGCCGUUUGCGUCGGAUGUGAAAGCCCGGGGCUCAACCUCGGAACGGCAUUCGAUACGGGACGGCUGGAGACCGGGAGAGGAGAGUGGAAUAGCCAGUGUAGAGGUGAAAUUCGUAGAUAUUGGCUGGAACACCGGUGGCGAAAGCGGCUCUCUGGCCCGGUUCUGACGCUGAGGCGCGAAAGCGUGGGGAGCAAACAGGAUUAGAUACCCUGGUAGUCCACGCCCUAAACGAUGUGUGCUGGGCGUCGGGGGGCUUGCCCCUCGGUGCCGGAGCUAACGCGGUAAGCACACCGCCUGGGGAGUACGGCCGCAAGGUUAAA